GACGAACGCUGGCGGCGUGCUUAACACAUGCAAGUCGAACGGAAAGGCCCUGCUUUUGUGGGGUGCUCAAGUGGCGAACGGGUGAGUAACACGUGAGUAACCUGCCCUUGACUUUGGGAUAACUUCAGGAAACUGGGGCUAAUACCGGAUAGGAGCUCCUGCUGCAUGGUGGGGGUUGGAAAGUUUCGGCGGUUGGGGAUGGACUCGCGGCUUAUCAGCUUGUUGGUGGGGUAGUGGCUUACCAAGGCUUUGACGGGUAGCCGGCCUGAGAGGGUGACCGGCCACAUUGGGACUGAGAUACGGCCCAGACUCCUACGGGAGGCAGCAGUGGGGAAUAUUGCACAAUGGGCGGAAGCCUGAUGCAGCAACGCCGCGUGCGGGAUGACGGCCUUCGGGUUGUAAACCGCUUUCGCCUGUGACGAAGCGUGAGUGACGGUAAUGGGUAAAGAAGCACCGGCUAACUACGUGCCAGCAGCCGCGGUGAUACGUAGGGUGCGAGCGUUGUCCGGAUUUAUUGGGCGUAAAGGGCUCGUAGGUGGUUGAUCGCGUCGGAAGUGUAAUCUUGGGGCUUAACCCUGAGCGUGCUUUCGAUACGGGUUGACUUGAGGAAGGUAGGGGAGAAUGGAAUUCCUGGUGGAGCGGUGGAAUGCGCAGAUAUCAGGAGGAACACCAGUGGCGAAGGCGGUUCUCUGGGCCUUUCCUGACGCUGAGGAGCGAAAGCGUGGGGAGCGAACAGGCUUAGAUACCCUGGUAGUCCACGCUGUAAACGGUGGGUACUAGGUGUGGGGUCCAUUCCACGGGUUCCGUGCCGUAGCUAACGCUUUAAGUACCCCGCCUGGGGAGUACGGCCGCAAGGCUAAAACUCAAAGGAAUUGACGGGGCCCCGCACAAGCGGCGGAGCAUGCGGAUUAAUUCGAUGCAACGCGUAGAACCUUACCUGGGUUUGACAUGGAUCGGGAGUGCUCAGAGAUGGGUGUGCCUCUUUUGGGGUCGGUUCACAGGUGGUGCAUGGCUGUCGUCAGCUCGUGUCGUGAGAUGUUGGGUUAAGUCCCGCAACGAGCGCAACCCUUGUUCACUGUUGCCAGCACGUUAUGGUGGGGACUCAGUGGAGACCGCCGGGGUCAACUCGGAGGAAGGUGGGGAUGACGUCAAGUCAUCAUGCCCCUUAUGUCCAGGGCUUCACGCAUGCUACAAUGGCUGGUACAGAGAGUGGCGAGCCUGUGAGGGUGAGCGAAUCUCGGAAAGCCGGUCUCAGUUCGGAUUGGGGUCUGCAACUCGACCUCAUGAAGUCGGAGUCGCUAGUAAUCGCAGAUCAGCAACGCUGCGGUGAAUACGUUCCCGGG
rnacentral:rRNA from 1 species